rnacentral:rRNA from 1 species
UACGGAGGGGGCGAGCGUUAUUCGGAAUUAUUGGGCGUAAAGGGCGCGUAGGCGGCUUGACAAGUCAAAGGUGAAAUCCCUCGGCUCAACUGAGGAACUGCCUUUGAAACUGUCUGGCUUGAGGCCGGGAGGGGGUAGCGGAAUUCCCAGUGUAGCGGUGAAAUGCGUAGAUACUGGGAGGAACACCAGUGGCGAAGGCGGCUACCUGGACCGGUACUGACGCUGAUGCGCGAAAGCGUGGGUAGCAAACAGG